rnacentral:sRNA from 1 species
ACCCAGCCCCGAUAGCAGUGGAAAUCCUUUUGCUUUUUUCUUUAAAAAGCAAAAGAUUGAAACGGAUAGCGGGAAUAGCU